AGUGAACGCUGGCGGUAGGCCUAACACAUGCAAGUCGAACGGCAGCACAGUAAGAGCUUGCUCUUACGGGUGGCGAGUGGCGGACGGGGGAGGAAUACAUCGGAAUCUACUUUUUCGUGGGGGAUAACGUAGGGAAACUUACGCUAAUACCGCAUACGACCUACGGGUGAAAGCAGGGGAUCUUCGGACCUUGCGCGAUUGAAUGAGCCGAUGUCGGAUUAGCUAGUUGGCGGGGUAAAGGCCCACCAAGGCGACGAUCCGUAGCUGGUCUGAGAGGAUGAUCAGCCACACUGGAACAGAGACACGGUCCAGACUCCUACGGGAGGCAGCAGUGGGGAAUAUUGGACAAUGGGCGCAAGCCUGAUCCAGCCAUACCGCGUGGGUGAAGAAGGCCUUCGGGUUGUAAAGCCCUUUUGUUGGGAAAGAAAAGCAGCAGGUUAAUACCCCGCUGUUCUGACGGUACCCAAAGAAUAAGCACCGGCUAACUUCGUG
rnacentral:rRNA from 1 species